GUCCCAGUAGGACAAUGGAUAGCGCGUUGGUCUUCUACUCCGAAACCGUGGGUUCGAAUCCCACCUGGGAUG